rnacentral:lncRNA from 1 species
AGUUGACUUGUCAUUCAUCUUAUUUUCUUGUUCAAAAUACAAAAUCAAAGUCUAGUGAAGCUGUGUGCGGCCUAUUUCGAUUCACUAGCAACUUGUUGUCCAACUUGUUGUUCUUGUGUUGGUUUAAUAUAUAUAUAGCUGAAUCUGUUUGCAUGAGAUUGAGUUGGUAAAGAGGUGAUUCGUCCUUGUGUGUUAGUUUAGUAGAAGGUAGAGAAGGAGUUGUUAGUUAGGGUGAUUUGUCGGUAGCUAAAAGUGUAA